rnacentral:rRNA from 1 species
GAAUGAUUGGGCGUAAAGGGUACGUAGGUGGUAUAUUCAAACAUAUAUAUAAUUUUAACAGGUGAACCUUUUUAAAAUAUAUAUUUUAUUAUUAUACUUGAGUGUAGGGCAUGUUAGUAGUAUUUUCAGUGGAGAGUUAAAAUUCGUUACAUAUUGAAGAGACAAUCGUUUGGUGUAAACAACUAACUGUAAAAAAAACUGACGCUAAUGUACAAAAGUGUGGGGCGCAAAUAGGAUUAGAUACCCUAGUAGUCCACACCCUGACCUAUGAGUGUUAAAAUGGAAGAUUAAGUUUUUUGUUUAAGCCAACGCGUAAACACUCCGCCUGGGCAGUACGGUCGCAAGAUUGAAACUCAAAGGAAUUGACGGAGGUCUGAACAUGCCGUGGAAACAUGUUGAUUUAAUGCGUAAAUACGCGCAAACCUUACCUUGUCUUGUUCCUUUAUAGAGUUUUAUUAUCAAAUAAAAAUAAAUUAUUAAAUAAUUAUAAUUGAUCAGGUGUUGC